rnacentral:misc_RNA from 1 species
UUUUUUUCUUUUUUUUAGAAUAGAUUGCUGUAUUACAAAUUACAUUAUUAUGCAAACACUUCGUACGACGAGAAGAAAUAUGGGAAAGAGGGUUUAAAUGUCAAAUCACUGUCUUAUAUACCCAACGUUCUGUCACAUCACUGAUUGUCUAUUGCACUCACAGUUCAUAUAAAUACUUCACACCGAUGACCGAUAAAUUAAGUAUGGAUCACACGAUGUGAAUCGUUAAAGAGUUGCACCGCAAUGAAAAUGUGAGACGUUCCUUAACAUACUCCCCCCGUUGAAGAAUCCAGAUUCUUCAACUCUGUGUCUUCAUCGUUGAGUAAAGGGGGGGCGGCGAACCAGAGGGCGGCGAUAACAGCCCGUAGUGGGCCGAAUAUCAGCAACGCGAGAGCUCCCGUCUGGCCCCGGAUAUAGUCUGGCUACUGGCAUCCAGUACUCCAAUACAAAGGUGGCAGGUCUCCAACCUUUAGCUUAGUCUUGUCUUCAUUUUGUUGUAUGAUUUGCUUGAGACGUGCGUAGCGUUUUAAUUGUAGUUCCCCUUCAUUCUCCAAGGCGGGAGCCGGCAGCUCAUUUAGUGGUCUUCUGAUUAAGAAGUGCCCUGGGGAAAGGAAAAGGAAAUCGUCAAGGGAACAUGGAUAAUGGGCACAAGGGACGACUAUUCAAAGUAGCCUCCACUCGUGCAAACAAAGU